CCCUCCUCCCUGCCGUGUGCAUUUUUUUUCAAUGAAGUCGUUGAGAAAUCAAUCCGUGGAGCGGUUGAUUAUCAUACACGUUACGAUGUGUGUAUUGUUGUAGUCUUAUCUGUCAUAAAUUGUAACAAGAGAUUACGGGGCGCGUGUGUGGCGCGGUCGUGGUGCCACUGAGAGGAGAGCUGUGACCCCGGGUCAGAUCGGCUCAUGCAGGGUUAGUUUUCAGACAAGACACACGGAAGGGAGAGCGUCAGAUUCAUAUGCUGUUUUACAAGAUAAUCCUUUGUAGGUUGAAAACAUGGAUCUAUAAAAAUACUAGUUAAUAUCUAUGCUUGAGAGAUGGUAAAGUAGUAAAUUGACAAUUACUACGUUACCAUCUAUAAAAAUACUAGUUAAUAUCUAUGCUUGAGAGAUGGUAACGUAGUAAAUUGACAAUUACUCCUAUUCUCCUCUCUCUGUGUGUUGCUCUGAGGUUUGAGGUGGAGCUGCAGGGUUGGGCGGAGGUGUGUGGGGAAGUUUGUUUCACAACGGUUACGUUCAACAGCACAGUCAGAAAAUAACGUGUUAUUGAUCUGAUUCAGCGGCUUUCUUACUGUCACUGCUCUCUACUCUCUACCAGCGUCAGUGGAUCCGGUGUUUCGGUUUAACUGAUGACCGUGUUAACUAGUGAUUUUCUCACAUUACAAGAUACGUUACAAGAGGUGAAUGAGUCUUCUGAACACAAUUUAACUUUAGCGUAACUUAGAUAUUAAACACAGACGUGUAUGUAUUUAAAAAUGAUUAAACUACUAAAGGCUUAUGAGAACACCUAUGUGAAAGUCAUCAUAUAACACGGUCACCACUUAAACGGAAACACCGGCUCUGUGUCUACCUGUGUAGCUGCUUACUGACCGAGCAACUCUGUCCCCCGUUCAGUGUCUGGACCUUUUAUAUAAAUAAAUAAAGUAGCAACCGGAGAGAAAUGACAGUAAACUGCAACAGAGGCUAAUAAUAAUGAUAUAAUGUUAGCCUCUGCCUCAGAGGGCGGAACUGAGUCUCCGUGUUCAUCAGAGACAGAGACACAGGAGGAUUACAUAGAAUGUGGGCCACCACAGUCUAUAUAAGUAAUGGGAAACAUUGAUAAAUCAUUUAUUUUUAGGGGUGCUUAGAUCAAUUUUAGGGGUGCUAGGGCAAGAGUGACAGGACGCUAAAUUUCUCAGCUUCGUGUCAGAGUUUAUUUAUUAAUGUGGUUAAAAAUAUAACCUACCUUGAAAGAAUGAAUGAAUUGAAAAUCGCUGUUUCUGCUGCUGUUUGUUUAAAUCCAAUCCACCACCAGAGGGAACUCUUCUCCUUCUCACUCCGCAAUGUAGACCAGAGCCCUUGAAUAGAGAGUCGCGUCAUCUACGUACACUCCAAUGGGCCAUUUUUUCACAGCAAUGGCAGAUCGCAGAGCCUCUCAAUAGUUCCCGGAAGUAAGCGGCACAUGCUAGCAGCGCAAUGGAGUUACAGCAGAAAAGACUGGCUGUGAUGUACUUUUAACGGCGCCCCUUUGGUCGAAGCGGUAUGACACCCACAGCCUGGUGUCGUAAAAUCUCGACUGCAACCGGCAAUCACCGCAUGCAUUUGUUUUGGAGAGCGAGAGGAUUAACUAACGUCAGUGGCUGGGUCUCAGCGGUUAUCAUGGCACUUGUAGGGGGUCAGUACAUCUUGUGCGGAGGGAUACAUCGGUGAGCAACAGCUGCAGCUUGACUCUGAUUCUGUGCAGCAAAAUGGGAGCGGAGGAUUCAGCCUCUCUUCUCGCCCACUCAGCAUCUAACACAGGGAGUUCCUCAUCUGUGUACUCCGGCUCAAACAGGAGCACUGGGUGGUGGCGGAGCAGUGAUGCUGCAGGACCACUGUGUGAGAGAGGACGCUACAGAUAAGUGCUGAGUCGACCUUGCACAAGAACAGGGGGAUGCAAUGGAGCCUGAACUUACCCUGCAAUGAAACAACCCCCUUACCCUGAGUCUCAACUCCCUGGGUUUUGCAAGCCUUUCCCUGUUCCUUAUUUUUAAUAAACCAAACACUGAGCUUCCCA